UAGAAAGUUACUUCGGUACAUCGGUGACAGGUGGUGGCAUGGUUGUCGUCAGCUCGUGUCGUGAGAUGUUGGUUAAGUCCCGCAACGAGCGCAACCCCUAUUGUUAGUUGCCAUCAUUCAGUUGGGCACUCUAGCGAGACUGCCGGUAAUAAACCGGAGGAAGGUGGGAUGACGUCAAAUCAUCAUGCCCCUUAUGACCUGGGCUACACACGUGCUACAAUGGUUGGUACAACGAGUUGCGAGUCGGUGACGGCGAGCUAAUCUCUUAAAGCCAAUCUCAGUUCGGAUUGUAGGCUGCAACUCGCCUACAUGAAGCCGGAAUCGCUAGUAAUCGCGGAUCAGCAUGCCGCGGUGAAUACGUUCCCGGGCCUU
rnacentral:rRNA from 1 species